UUCAGUAAAAAAGCAUGUAUGCAACUCUCACAUGGUCGCCCACUGAAGCUAAGCAGGGCUGCCCCUGGUCAAUAGCUGGAUGGGAAACCACAUGGGAAAGCUAGGUUGAUGCCGGAA
rnacentral:rRNA from 1 species